rnacentral:rRNA from 1 species
GAUGAACGCUGGCGGCGUGCCUAAUACAUGCAAGUCGAGCGAACGGACGAGAAGCUUGCUUCUCUGAUGUUAGCGGCGGACGGGUGAGUAACACGUGGAUAACCUACCUAUAAGACUGGGAUAACUUCGGGAAACCGGAGCUAAUACCGGAUGAUAUUUUGAACCGCAUGGUUCAAAAGUGAAAGACGGUCUUGCUGUCACUUAUAGAUGGAUCCGCGCUGCAUUAGCUAGUUGGUAAGGUAACGGCUUACCAAGGCAACGAUGCAUAGCCGACCUGAGAGGGUGAUCGGCCACCCUGCAACUGAGACACGGUCCAGACUCCUACGGGAGGCAGCAGUAGGGAAUCUUCCGCAGUGGGCGAAAGCCUGACGGAGCAACGCCGCGUGAGUGAUGAAGGUCUUCGGCUCGUAAAACUCUGUUAUUAGGGAAGAACAUAUGUGUAAGUAACUGUGCACAUCUUGACGGUACCUAAUCAGACAGCCACGGCUAACUACGU